UGGGGAAUCUUGGACAAUGGGCGCAAGCCUGAUCCAGCCAUGCCGCGUGAGUGAAGAAGGCCUUAGGGUUGUAAAACUCUUUCGCCGGAGAAGAUAAUGACGGUAUCCGGAGAAGAAGCCCCGGCUAACUUCGUGCCAGCAGCCGCGGUAAUACGAAGGGGGCUAGCGUUGUUCGGAAUUACUGGGCGUAAAGCGCACGUAGGCGGGUUUGUAAGUAGGGGGUGAAAUCCCAGGGCUCAACCCUGGAACUGCCUUCUAAACUGCAAGCCUGGAGGUCAGGAGAGGCGAGUGGAAUACCGAGUGUAGAGGUGAAAUUCGUAGAUAUUCGGUGGAACACCAGUGGCGAAGGCGACUCGCUGGACUGAUACUGACGCUGAGGUGCGAAAGCGUGGGGAGCAAACAGG
rnacentral:rRNA from 1 species